GGAUGAUUUAUGGUCUGCAAUGAUGAGGAUGAUUUAUGGUCUGCAAUGAUGAGGAUGAUUUAUGGUCUGCAAUGAUGAGGAUGAUUUAUGGUCUGCAAUAAUGAGGAUGAUUUAUGGUCUGCAAUAAUGAGGAUGAUUCAUGGUCUGCAAUGAGGAGGAUGAUUCAUGGUCUGCAAUGAGGAUGAGGAUGAUUUAUGGUCUGCAAUCAGGAUGAGGAUGAUUUAUGGUCUGCAAUGAUGAGGAUGAUUCAUGGUCUGCAAUGAUGAGGAUGAUUCAUGGUUUGCAGUGACGGUGACUCGUGGUCUGCAGUGGUUUUGGACACGUUGUGCUUUGGUUGACAUGCAAAAUGUAUUCAAAUUUGUUAAGAGACUAAGCUUGGCAUUGAUCUGACAUAGAGCAGCGGGUAAUGGUCAUAGACUACAGGCUAUUUUAGGAUUCUGUACACCAUGGUUGUCUAAAGGGAAAUGGUUGUCCACAGAACAAGUGACCCCCCCCCCCCAAAAAAAAACCAGACAUUUGAGACGAAAUAAAUCCAGAAAAGAAUGAAACAUCACUAACAUGUGAAGAAGCAUUUAUAUAUUAGUAGUCUUUGUUUUUGUUUUGUUUUUUCGGGUGUACUUUUGUGUGCAGUCUAUCAACAAAGACUACCAGAAUAGUAAGAUAUUAUACAAAUCGGUGGAUUAAAUAUAUAUUUCUAAUUGUGAAAAAUGAAAAUGCACUCCUAUUCACUGAAGUGCCAAUCCUGACCAACUAAAGACUUGAGGUUGAUUAAACAUAUUUUGAGUUGGUGAUCAUAAUCUUUUCUUUUCUUGAAUGUGCACGUUUGUAGUGCAAAAUACUGUUGAUGUUUUUUUUUUUCUCCUUAUCUUCUAGUUCCAUGACUUGCCGUGGUUUCUCUAAACAAGUGGCAUUCUUUACUGCUUUUGCACAAAAAAAAAAAAAAAAAAAACUGGGAUUGAGUCAGAACAGAGGAAUAAUUUAAUCGUCAAAAAAAAAAAAAAAAGUAUUUUAUUCUAUCAUGGUGAUCCGUCUAAAGUGAAUAAUGAUGUUCUUCCAUUUGAAUGUGUUGUUUUCACUGUUCAGACCUCACGCUGAUGCAACUGCAGGACCGCCAGUCCACACAUGGGUUUGAUUAGAGAAAGGCAGAGCCAACAAGUGUAAUUUUAGGCUGAGAACAGACUGCAUUGCACAUUAGUAGGUCCCUGAGUUUUUCCUUAGUCGGGUAAUAUGGUCUGGAAAAGCUCCGAGCCCAGGCCAAUACAGGGCCACGUUCAGUAGCUAAACGUUGCAGAUAGAGGAGCCAACGUGAUUCAUUCUACAUUUUAGAGGCAUGUUUGUUCUACAUAGCAUAUUUCUAUCUUACUGUUCUAAACUGUUGUGCCCUGCUGAAUGGUCUGCUCAACUUGAACUUCCACGUUGGCACGACCCAUCUACCCACAAACAGCCACAUAAUGCACGACCCAUCUACCCACAAACGGCUACAUAAUGCACGACCCAUCUACCCACAAACAGCUACAUAAUGCACGACCCAUCUACCCACAAGCAGCCACCAGCUAAUUCAAAAUGGAGAAGACUUUUUUUGUUUCUUCUUUAAAAAAAAAAUUAAAAAAAAUUGUUGACUUUGUGGUGCUUUGCCAUUGCAUGUACAUUGACUUGGAUAUGGAGGGUAUAUAAUUAUUAUUGGCUGUCCAGACCCAGUCACUCAAUCAACCAAUCACUUGUCCAGAGACAGCUUUCAGCUAUCUCUUGAUUUAGCACAAUGAAUCAGAAGCUACAUCCUUGGCUGAGAAUGAACCAACCAAUCAGAGCUGCAAUAGAAUCUUCUCUAAAAGUCAACCAUCCCCAGGGAUUCAUUUAAGACUGCUCCCAAAAGUGCAUCCUAUUUCCUAUCUAACGUUCCUACUUUUAGAACAGGGGUCCAUGGGGCUCUGGUGAAAAGUAGUGCAGUAAAUAAGGAAUAGACAUGUCAUUUGGGACAGAACCUUCUUUCCUUCCUCCCUUCUCCCGCUUCAGUGCAAUUAACAGAGCUGAAUGAAUCCGACACAUGCCUAAUGAUUUCUGCAAAGUGCUGAAAUGCUUCAUAUGGCAAUAGUAGAAGGGACAGGAGGUUUUUCCUUGACCAGGAGAAAAUCAAAUGUUAUUUGAGACCAUUGUCCAAUACACCAGGUGUAGAUCUUACAGUGAAAUGCUUUUCAAGCCCUCAACCAGUUUUAAGAAGAAAGUGUUAAAAGUGUUUAUUUACUAAAAUGACUGUGUCCCAAAUGGCAGAAAUAUUCCCUAUAGCAGGGGUAUUUUCUCUUCUACUUGAUAAUUAAUUGCACACAUCUGGUGUCCCAGGUCUAAAUCAGUCCCUGGUUAGAGGGGAAUCACCCACCUGGUGUCCCAGGUCUAAAUCAGUCCCUAUUAGAAGGGAACAAUGAAAUAGUGCAGUGAAACUGGCUUCGAGGUCCAGCGUUGAGUUUGAGGGCCCUAUAUAGUGCACUACUUUUGACCAGAAUCCUAUUGGCCAUGGUCAAAAGUAGUGCACUAUAUAUGGAAUGGGGUGCCAUUUGGGGAUCAAAAGUAGUGCACUAUAUAGGGAAUAGGGUGCCAUUUGGGAGGGCCUACUGGGUUGUAGUUAUUUGCUAUAGUGUUUCCCUGUCAGGCCCUAUGGUCAGGAAUAACUCCUACCCCUAGGCAAAGAUUUGAAAAAAGAAUAAAGAUAACAUUUAAAUGGGACUUUUCUUGUCGUCCGUCCUAGAUCCUGUAAAUGUGUAUAUCUCCGAAAAUCUCAAGCCACACCUUUUAGUGCUCAGCUUUGUCAAAAUAAUGCUCUCUGUUCUACAAUUGUUUACAAUGCAAACACGUUUGUAAAGUAUUUUUCACAUGUCAUAACUGACCAGUCUUGGUGUAUACUCUUUGAUCCUCUCAUUUUAUCUUUCGCAAUGUAUUUAUUUCUAAAAACAAAUAUCUUACUUUUUAUUAUUUUUUAUUUUUGUUUAUUUUUUUUAGCUUUUUGAUAACCCAUCUUGUACUGUGACUUGACUUGACCGACGAUAUGAAUGAGUGACACGAAACUGAUACGCUUCAACGGAACAUGACACAAGAAUACAUAAACAACAACAAAAAUGCAUUAACAAAUAUUGGAAAUGUGUACAAGUGAAAGUUGUGGAAACUGUAAGAUAUAUAUAUAUAUAUUAAAACAAAUGUUGCAACCCUUUUAAUGUCUGAUUUUCCAUUGCUUGAACAUGUUUUGAAUGACAAAAAGAUACCAAAAUGUGAAAGCAUUUUGCUUCUGUAUGUGUGAGAAGAAACUAUACUGAACAAAAAUAUAAACGCAACAUGAAAAGUGUUGGUCCCAUGUUUCACGAGCUGAAAUAAAAUAUCCCAGAAAUGU
ensembl:lncRNA